GAUGCCUGGUUCCAGCUGAAGAUCCAGGGUCCCCAGGCCCUCCUCCUGGGGAGAGGUUCUUCUUCAGCUUGACCUGAGCUCUGCCGCUUCUACCUGCAUGAACUGUAGCAACAAUUUGGCUCGCCAGGCCUCAUUCUCUCCAUCCUGAAAAUGGGCACAUUUCUGCGCAGUGAGGUCGUGAAAGGUUGAUGAGGCGACAUGCAAGAAGCCUGAGCCUGGAGCCUGGCCCCCAGGAGGCCACCCCAGUGGACCCUGCUGGGUUUCUGAUUUCCUCUGUGACAUCUCCUGGGGGCCGGAUUCCCAGCGGGAGGAAGGAUGAGGCCUGGGGAGGGCCUGGCUCUGGGACAAUGCAGAGCAUUGAGCUCAUGCCAGCCUUGGCUUGGGUUUGGACAAAUACAGUAAUCUGGGCAGGACUCACACAAAGACCUGGGGGCCGGGUCAGGCGAGGGGCAUCAGGUUACCCCCGUGGGCUGCAGCCUCACAGGUGGCUUGUGGUGGGGGGAUUUUCUCUUCCCUAAAGAUUAUAAUUAAACGAGCCCUCACCGAGGUCUCGGCGGGCAGGUUUCGUUACAGGAAGAACUGAGGUAUAGGGCUUGCAGGCCUGAUGGGACGCGCUGUCUCUGUGAUAGGAACAACUGCACUCACAAUCAUAACCACUGUCCUUUGGAACUGGUUCCCGAGGGCCAGGCCCCAGGAAGCCCAUCCUGACCUCCUCUGGCUCCCGAUGUCACCUGGACUUCCCCAAUCGCAGACCUUGCCACAGUGUGCCAGGCUGAGUCUUCUCGUUCAUCUUCCCGGCGGCCCAGCACCCAAGAUACUGCCUCUUCCGCCUGCCCGGAGUCUCCUUCCAGUGCCCUCACAAUCGAGUUCUCUGUCUCGGCAGCUGCUUUCCAUUCAAGUCCUUUGUGCUGAAAAUUAAAAAAAAUAAAAUAAAAUAAAAAA